rnacentral:rRNA from 1 species
UGGGGAAUUUUGGACAAUGGGCGAAAGCCUGAUCCAGCAAUGCCGCGUGCAGGAUGAAGGCCCUCGGGUUGUAAACUGCUUUUGUACGGAACGAAAAGCCUGGGGCUAAUAUCCCCGGGUCAUGACGGUACCGUAAGAAUAAGCACCGGCUAACUACGUGCCAGCAGCCGCGGUAAUACGUAGGGUGCAAGCGUUAAUCGGAAUUACUGGGCGUAAAGCGUGCGCAGGCGGUUUUGUAAGACAGUGGUGAAAUCCCCGGGCUCAACCUGGGAACUGCCAUUGUGACUGCAAGGCUAGUGUGCGGCAGAGGGGGAUGGAAUUCCGCGUGUAGCAGUGAAAUGCGUAGAUAUGCGGAGGAACACCGAUGGCGAAGGCGAUCCCCUGGGCCUGCACUGACACUCAUGCACGAAAGCGUGGGGAGCAAACAGG